UACAGAGGUCUCAAGCGUUGUUCGGAUUCAUUGGGCGUAAAGGGUGCGUAGGCGGCGCGGUAAGUCGGGUGUGAAAUGCCCGGGCUCACCCCGGGACCUGCAUCCCAAACUGCUGAGCUUGAGUACAGGAGAGGGUGGGGGAAUUCCAGGUGUAGCGGUGAAAUGCGUAGAUAUCUGGAGGAACACCGGUGGCGAAGGCGCCCACCUGGCCUGCUACUGACGCUGAAGCUCGAAAGCUAGGGGAGCAAACGGG
rnacentral:rRNA from 1 species